rnacentral:rRNA from 1 species
UACGUAGGGUGCAAGCGUUGCUCGGAAUCACUGGGCGUAAAGGGCAUGUAGGUGGGUUUGUCAGUCGUGUGUGAAACCCCUGGGCUUAACCUGGGAAUGGCACUCGAUACUGCAGAUCUUGAAUGUUCGAGAGGAUGGCAGAAUUCCUGGUGUAGAGGUGAAAUUCGUAGAUAUCAGGAGGAAUACCGGAGGCGAAGGCGGCCGUCUGGCGAGACAUUGACACUGAGGUGCGAAAGCGUGGGGAUCAAGCAGG